UCCCUGGUGGCCCAGUGGUUAGGACUCCAAGCUUUUCACGGCUGAGGUCCCAGGUUCAAUCCCUGGUUAGGGAA
rnacentral:tRNA from 1 species